rnacentral:rRNA from 1 species
AGAGUUUGAUCAUGGCUCAGAUUGAACGCUGGCGGCAUGCCUUACACAUGCAAGUCGAACGGCAGCGGGGGACUUCGGUCCGCCGGCGAGUGGCGAACGGGUGAGUAAUGUAUCGGAACGUACCUUUCAGUGGGGGAUAACGUAGCGAAAGUUACGCUAAUACCGCAUAUUCUGUGCGCAGGAAAGCAGGGGAUCGCAAGACCUUGCGCUGAUUGAGCGGCCGAUAUCAGAUUAGCUAGUUGGUGGGGUAAAGGCCUACCAAGGCGACGAUCUGUAGCGGGUCUGAGAGGAUGAUCCGCCACACUGGAACUGAGACACGGUCCAGACUCCUACGGGAGGCAGCAGUGGGGAAUUUUGGACAAUGGGCGCAAGCCUGAUCCAGCCAUGCCGCGUGAGUGAAGAAGGCCUUCGGGUUGUAAAGCUCUUUCGGUGGGGAAGAAAUUGCUUCGGUUAAUACCUGGAGUAGAUGACGGUACCCGCAUAAGAAGCACCGGCUAACUACGUG